rnacentral:rRNA from 1 species
UACGAAGGGGGCUAGCGUUGCUCGGAAUCACUGGGCGUAAAGGGUGCGUAGGCGGGUCUUUUAAGUCAGGGGUGAAAUCCUGGAGCUCAACUCCAGAACUGCCUUUGAUACUGAGGAUCUUGAGUUCGGGAGAGGUGAGUGGAACUGGCGAGUGUAGAGGUGAAAUUCGUAGAUAUUCGCAAGAACACCAGUGGCGAAGGCGGCUCACUGGCCCGAUACUGACGCUGAGGCACGAAAGCGUGGGGAGCAAACAGGG